rnacentral:snRNA from 1 species
AUGCUCGCUUUGGCAGCUUGAGCACCUACUAAAAUUGGAACCAUACGGAGAUUAGCAUGGCCUCUGUGCAAGGAUGACAUAAGAAGCAUUCCAUUUAAAA